UAAUACGGGGGGAGCAAGCGUUGUCCGGAAUUACUGGGCGUAAAGGGCGUGUAGGCGGGCCUGUAAGUCAGAAGUGAAAUCUAUCGGCUUAACCGAUGGCCUGCUUCUGAUACUACAGGUCUUGAGUAGGACAGAGGAAAGUGGAAUUCUUGGUGUAGCGGUGAAAUGUGUAGAUAUCAGGAAGAACACCGGUAGCGAAGGCGGCUUUCUGGGUCUUUACUGACGCUGAGGCGCGAAAGCAUGGGGAGCGAACAGGAUUAGAUACCCUGGUAGUCCAUGCCCUAAACGAUGAGCACUAGGUGUUGGAGGUUCGGCCCUUCCAGUGCCGCAGCUAACGCAUUAAGUGCUCCGCCUGGGGAGUACGAUCGCAAGGUUG
rnacentral:rRNA from 1 species